GUCAGACAGCGAGCUGCUAAUGAGAAAGCCAGCGAGACAGCGGGGACGCAAAGGGCGGAAGAGCGGCGAGCAAUCUUGGCAGCCGAAAUGCAUUGUUAAGACGAAGACCUCGCUCAUGAGCCUGGGACAUCCACAGAGGCUUCACUUUGACAAGAAUACGAAUGACAAGCUUGGAGUCUGGUGUGCCAAUAUAAUCAUGUCCCAGAGGGGUGGAUACCGCAUGUGCAAAGAAGCCCCGGAGCUGUUUUCCAUGAAUUUGAUUGACAGCCUAUCUACAUCCUCAAGGUCUUCUGGCCAGCAGAGAGAGCAAUAAAAGCUGCCAAGAAGCCUCUGAGACCAGCUGAGCUUCCUGAAAGAGGUUUGGAAUCAGAGUCAUUUGGAAAGGACACUGUUCAACCCGCUGAGCUUCCAGCAGACUGUGCAUUGUGCUCCAGGUUCCCAGCUUUGUGAGCCGUCUCCCAUGCUGGCGUGGGCGUUAGUGGAGCAUCUGUCUUUGAGCCGUUUCUGCUCCUUGUAUGUAAUCCCUCACCCAUGUACCCUCCUCUAGGUAAACCCCAAUAAGACU